CCAAGCUUCAAAGAGCCAACGGUGAAUGCCUUGGCGCCAAUGACCGAUGAAGGACGUGGGUGACUGCGAAAAGCUACGACGAGCCGUCUACCAGGCUUUGACUCGUAGAUGUCCGAAUGAGGAAACUCGGCACCCGUCAUGGGGUGUCACUCUGGAGUGAAUACAUAGCUCCAGUGGAGGGAACCGGGGGAAUUGAAACAUCUCAGUACCCCGAGGAAAGAAAAGCAAACGCGACUCCCUUAGUAGUGGCGAGCGAAAAGGGAAGAGGCCAAACCGUGUCGGUGCAAUAUCCUGAUGGAGUUGCCGACAUGGGGUUGUGGGACGUUUAGACACGGCAUCAGACGUGUCACGGAGUUAAAAGUUGCUACGUAGAAGAACGGCUUUGGAAAAGCCGGCCACAGUGGGUAAUAGCCCCGUAUUCGAAACGUACGCAGCCUCCGGAACCAAUCCCAAGUAAUGCCGGGACCGAGCAAACUGGCAUGAAUCUGCGGGGACCACCCCGUAAGCCUAAGUAUCUAUUGGCGACCGAUAGUGAACCAGUACCGUGAGGGAAAGGUGAAAAGAACCCCGGGAGGGGAGUGAAAUAGUACCUGAAACCGUUGGUUUACAAACAGUCAAAGCGUCGUCAUGCGGACUUGUCCGUAUGGCCGCGAUGGCGUGCCUUUUGAAGAAUGAGCCUACGAGUUACGGUUAGUGGCGAGGUUAACCCGUGAGGGGUAGCCGGAGCGAAAGCGAGUCUGAACAGGGCGUUCAGUCGCUAGCUGUAGACCCGAAGCCGAGUGAUCUAGCCAUGGGCAGGUUGAAGCGGGGGUAAGACCCCGUGGAGGACCGAACACACGUCAGUUGAAAAUGGCGGUGAUGACCUGUGGUUAGGGGCGAAAGACCAAUCAAACUCGGCGAUAGCUGGUUCUCCUCGAAAUGCAUUUAGGUGCAGCGUCAUGCGUUCAGUACCGGAGGUAGAGCACUGGAUGGGUUAGGGGGCCUACAAGCUUACCGACCCCAGCCAAACUCCGAAUUACGGUACUCCAGAGCAUGGCAGUGAGACCACGGGGGAUGAGCUUCGUUGGUCGAAAGGGAAACAGCCCAGAUCAUCAGCUAAGGCCCCAAAUUCAGGACUAAGUGGAAAACGAUGUGGAUUUGCACAGACAGCCAGGAGGUUGGCUUAGAAGCAGCCAUCCUUAAAAGAGUGCGUAACAGCUCACUGGUCGAGUGAAUCUGCGCGGACAAUUUAACGGGGCUCAAGUCCUGAGCCGAAGCUAUGGAUUUCAACGUUUUACGUUGGAGUGGUAGAGGAGCGUUGAUGAAGCACUGAAGCGGCGGGAUAACCCGACGUGGAGUUUCAUCAAGUGAGAAUGUAGGCAUGAGUAGCGAGAGAGGAGUGAGAAACUCCUCCGCCGUAAGCCCAAGGGUUCCUGGGGAAGGCUAAUCCUCCCAGGGUAAGUCGGGAGCUAAGACGAGGCCGCGAGGCGUAGUCGAUGCACAACUGGUUGAUAUUCCAGUACCGCCAUAUACGCGCAAAGCUCAAUUUCGGUGAAGCAGGGGCUGCCUUCGGGCGAUCCUGACUAGCUGGAUGCGGGUAACUGAAGGGGGACACAGAAGGAUAGGUGAACCGGGGCGAUGGUUGUCCCCGGGUAAGUGUGUAGGAGGACUGCGAUGAGAAUUGCGGUCGUAACUCUGAGACACGAUGCCGAGCGGGUUUCCGCGAAGUCACUAAUUCCAUGCUGUCGAGAAAAGCCCAGCAGUGAGUUUGUAUGGCGCCCGUACCCCAAACCGACUCAGGUGGGCGGGUAGAGAAUACCAAGGCGAUCGGGAGAACUAUGGUUAAGGAACUCGGCAAAAUGCCUCCGUAACUUCGGAAGAAGGAGGACCCACGUAGGGUGAAGAGACUUCGCGUCUCCAGCCUGAAUGGGUGGCACAGAGCAGGGGGUAGCGACUGUUUAACAAAAACACAGCAGCGUGCGAAGCCGCAAGGCGCUGUAUACGCUGUGACGCCUGCCCAAUGCUGGAAGGUCACGAGGAACGGUUAGCCGCAAGGCGAAGCUGUGAAUCUAAGCCCCAGUGAAUGGCGGCCGUAACUAUAACGGUCCUAAGGUAGCGAAAUUCCUUGUCGGGUAAGUUCCGACCUGCACGAAUGGCGUAACGACUUCCCCGCUGUCUCAACCAUAGACCCGGCGAAAUUGAAGUACGAGUAAAGAUGCUCGUUUGCUGCGGAAGGACGGAAAGACCCCGUGCACCUUUACUAUAACUUGGUGUUGAGCUUCGACCUUAACUGUGUAGCUUAGGUGGGAGACUGUGAAGCGCGAGCGCUAGUUCGCGUGGAGUCAUUAGUGAAAUACCACCCUGUUCAGUUUGGAGCUCUAACCUCGAUCCAUAAUCUGGAUCAGGAACAGUGCCAGGCGGGUAGUUUGACUGGGGCGGUCGCCUCCUAAAUUGUAACGGAGGCGCUCAAAGGUUCCCUCAGACUGGUUGGUAAUCAGUCGGCG
rnacentral:rRNA from 1 species